ACUAUACAAUUGCUCCUUUCUUUUCGAAGACCAAAAUAAACUACUACUCUCUCGCAGACCCUAACCCAGAGAACAAAAAUCUCUCUCCCAAACCCUAACCCAAAUUCGAUGAACAAAAAGAACAAUUUUGAGUUAAUCGCUCUUCUUUUGUAAUACUUUGAAUGUUGUACCUUUGUUAUGCGAGUCUGUGACUGAAUCGAAUAAGGUUUGAUACCUGGGUUGUUAAGAAAGUGAUCAUGGAUCGCAUUUUGGUUGUGUUGAGGUGGUGGAAUGGGAUUAAUAAUUUGGGUGAAAUCGUAUGGAAAUUUGAAUCUCUUGAUCAAGAGUCAUUGGCACACUUGAACAAGGACUCAUGGCAGUUUUCGAGCUAGAAUUUUACAUGCGCUUUCUUGUUUCAGAUGGUCAAUUUUCCAUAUUGCAAAUUUUGCUGCUCCCUAGGUGUGUCUUUGCUAGAGAUGUUGUACUUCACUUAUUGCAACUGCUACUGCUGCCUGGGUGUGUCUUUGUUGCUACGCUGCUGCACACAGUGAAAGGAGUUGGCUACGGUCUUGCAAGUGCUGCCAGCUAGUUGCUGUCUUGUACAAUGAAGAAGUUUUGUUUCUUGAUUUGGUUUCAUUACUUAGUUUGUGUUGAAUUUGAGCGGCUAUGUAUGGCCUUUAAUUAUUAAGUGGUAAAGUUGUACAACUCUUUAGAUGUGUUGAAAUUGAGUUGUAAAUUCUAUUUUGCUUAA